GUGGGGAAUUGUUCGCAAUGGGCGCAAGCCUGACGACGCAACGCCGCGUGGGGGAUGAAGGUCUUCGGAUUGUAAACCCCUGUCGAGCGGGACGAAUGGCCCGCGACCUAACACGUCGUGGGAGUGACGGUACCGCUAAAGGAAGCCACGGCUAACUCUGUGCCAGCAGCCGCGGUAAUACAGAGGUGGCAAGCGUUGUUCGGAAUUACUGGGCGUAAAGGGCGCGUAGGCGGCCUUCUAAGUCAGACGUGAAAUCCCCCGGCUUAACCUGGGAACUGCGUCUGAUACUGGAGGGCUCGAGUGCGGGAGAGGGAUGUGGAAUUCCAGGUGUAGCGGUGAAAUGCGUAGAUAUCUGGAGGAACACCGGUGGCGAAGGCGGCAUCCUGGACCGACACUGACGCUGAGGCGCGAAAGCUAGGGUAGCAAACGGGAUUAGAAACCCUUGUAGUCC
rnacentral:rRNA from 1 species